rnacentral:rRNA from 1 species
GGCCCUGAGUAGAGUGGCAAACGGGUGAGUAACACAUGGGUGACCUACCCCGCAGUGAGGAAUACCGGCGAGAAAUCGCCGACAAGACCGCAUAGGGUCUGUCUGGUGAAGCAGACAGAGCAAAGGGUCUCUUUCGCGAGAAAGGGAGACGCUGAGGGAUGGGCCUGUGGCCGAUUAGCUAGUUGGUAAGGUAAGAGCCUACCAAGGCGACGAUCGGUAGCUGGUCUGAGAGGACGAACAGCCACACUGGGAUUGAGAACGGCCCAGACUCCUACGGGGGGCAGCAGUGAGGAAUUUUCCGCAAUGGACGCAAGUCUGACGGAGCAACGCCGCGUGCAGGAGGACGCUUUUCGGA